GUCCUACACGCCAAUAUAAAAAUCAAGACUCUUUCCACCCAUAGCAAUCACGUGAGGUUUUAUAUGCCGUAUAAAUAAACACAGCCUAGUAUUAAAUUCCUCAGACUUCUUCGAAGGGAGAGAAGUUCCUACAUUAGCCGAAAUCAUGAGGAUUUUGAAAGUCUUGGGCUUGCUGCUCAUCUUGAUUCUCUGCCUUGGGACCUUCUCAGCUGAUAAUGCAGGGCCAAGAAUGAAAAGAAAAUGCUUUUGCAGAUUGAAGAAAAACUCAUCUGGGAUGGACAGAAGGAUUGUUGGACAACCCAAGAAAUGUUGCUGUAAACCUUGUCAAACAAGCAGGCAACCCUCUUAUGUUUUUCUUCCUGGACCACUGUCUCACGUGUGAAGGGAAGACUUAGACAAAUAUACAGUAUCAGCUGCAAAUGA